rnacentral:misc_RNA from 1 species
AUUUGCUAGAAUAAUUCCAGGACGCUUUUCCUACGUGAAAAAGCGUAUCGAACAAGAGGCCGUCAAUGAAAUUGAGCUGGCAUUCGGAUUCCUGAGAUCAAAAUACAUAAGGAUAGCAUGACAAACCCUUCCAAAAAAAAUCUGAAUCCUCAUCUCAGAUUUUGAGAAAUCUCAUCGAGACACACAGAUCAAUUAGGACUAAUACCAGAUGCUACGCGUGAACUCAAAGAAGUUUUAUUUUGGGCAGGAAUCCUUCUGAACAAAGACCCG